CAUAAAAAGGAUGAGUGUCUCCUGAAUUUCUCUCUCUCUUGUGCUCACCUGCCUUUCUACCAUGUUAUGAUGCAGCACAAAGACCCUCUCCAGCUGCUGGUACUAUGCUCUUGGACUUCCCAGUCUCCAGAACUAGCUUCUGGUUUUCAUCCAUUCUGAUAAGGAGUUGAGCCUGUAUCAUCCUGGCUCCAAAGAACGAGUUGGCGCACGUCGGUCCACUUUCUCAGGGAACCCUGAAAUGUAGCUAAAACAAAACAAAAUGAAGCAAAAACCUGAUGCUGUUUGCCAUUGGCCAGACUUACAACCACUUGGCAUUUGAAAAAUAAAAAUGGCUUUAAGGACAAAUUGGGAGCAGAACCAUAACAGUCCUUCAUAAACUACCAAGUCCAGAGAAGCAAGAAGACAAGGGAUCUGUCUGUGGUCUUCGUGAACAGAUCUCAUCCAGGGUCCCUGGAGCUGUAAUUCUAAACUGCCAUCCACACAGAGGAGCCAUUUGGAUGGCCCAUGAGACUGAGACCCUGCUGCUCUUCCAGCCCUCCCUUUUCAGAUCUGUCCUCCGAGGAUUGAUAGAGGAUCAGAGUGCCACUGGUAUUUGUCCCAAGUAAUUGGAUUGACCCUUAGAAGAAAAGAUUCUAUUGGCCAGAACCCAGUCAUAUGGUGCCAGCCUAAAACAAGGAUGGUUGAAGAGGGGUCUUCUUGUGUCACCAAGAAGAGGAAAUAAAAAUGGUAAGCAUCUAACUAGUCUUUAUCACAUACCUCAGCCCUAUGAUUUCAUAGAUAUUAAUGCUUAAGGCAAAAUCAAAUUUAUGUAAGUAUAAAAAUGUGUGUUGGUUUAAAGAAAGAGAUUGUAAAAGAAAAAGUAAAUACAAAUGCAUGUAGUACAUCACAUGACAAAAAUCCCGAAGUAGUAGGUGAAUAAGUAAAGGUUGGAAAUCACUGGACCAGAUAAUGGUUGGUAGGACAUUUCAGCUACCACAUCCUUCUAUGAUGAUGGCACCAGCUAAUGGAUGUCACAGUCUUCUACUAGGUUGCUGGGUCUCCUAGUUUAUGGUUUUAAGAGUUUGUAAUUUAAGUUAAUCUGCCAUUUGAAAAGUUAAUAUCCAGAAAACUGUCUUUUAACAUUAUGCUUUGUCAAACAAAAUUGAAUAAACAUUUAAUUUUCAUUCAAAUUUACUUCUUGGGAGUGAGUACAUGAAAACCUCUUUUUCAACCCUUAAGUGUAUUUUUUUUUCCUUUUAAAGAAAGAUCCAUCUUGGCCUAGUAUAGAAUAUUUUGUUCAAAACUUUUGGCUUACUCCUGGUAUAUGAUUUAAAUGGCUUAGUGAAAAUUUUCUUGUCAAAAAUAUAGCAAGAUGUUUGAAAGCCCAGGAAUAACUUUUGACAGCUGCAAAAUCUUCUGAAUUCAGUGAAUUUGUCAAAAGCAUCUUUCCAGGUAAACUUUUGUUCACCCUGUGAAGCUCAAAGAGAACAGAGACAAAUGACACAACAAACACAACUAUGUUGUCAGAACUUUGUAUUAGAAAAUUAGCAUUCUGCACUACCAGUCAUUACCUUGCCUGGUAGUAACUUUCCACCAUAUAGCAAAAUAAUUUAAAUACACUUAAGAUUUUAGAAGUUCUAAGAGUCCCAUCAUGAAUAGUUCUACAAUUUUGGAAUCUGAGGACUUUAAGGUGCCACUUGUCCAUCCCUUUGCUUUUGUCAGGACUGUCUAGAAACCACCCAAGAGUUUUAAGAGCUGGUGGACGAGUUGUGAGCUCUUUUUCCCAGCAGCAUCUUUCAAGUGGUGUUUAAGUGCUAUAUAUAUUACAUCUGAGGAAGUUAAGUAAUUUUUACCUAAGGUAGUAAAACUUUACAUUUGAGUUUUGAUUUAGAAACAAAAUGGUAGCCUUUAAGGUGUUCAAAUAAUUUCCUAUAAUACUGAAUAACUUUUAGUGAAAUUUCAUAGAGAGUGAAUAUGACAAAAUUUGAUUGCUUUGAGAGGGGUUCUUAGUUCACAUGAUAUGAGUUUACUUUUAAAAGAAAAAAAAAAAAAAGGCCAGGCAUUGGUGGCUCAUGCCUAUAAUCCCAGCACUUUGGGAGGCCAAUUCGAGUGGAUCACUUGAGGGCAGGAGUUUGAGACCAGCCCGGGGAACAUGGUGAAACCCCAUCUCUACUAAAAAAAACUACAAAACUUAGCCAGGUGUGGUGGCACACACCUGCAGUUCCAGCUACUCAGGAGGCUGAGGCAUGAGAAUUGCUUGAAGCCAGGAGGCAGAGUGUGCAGUGAGCCAAGAUCAUGCCACUUUACUGCAGCCUGGGUGACAGAGUGAGACUCCAUCUAAAAAAAAAGU